AGGUCCUUUCCCACCUUAAAGAUUCUGCAGUUCUAUGAUUUCUCACCCCCCCCUCUCCCAGCUGCGGUUGCACAGCACUGUUUCUCUCCCUUCAAUCCUUUCUCCCAGAGGCACACCCAGCAUCACUCAUGGCUCACCUCUGCCCAACAGCUGGUCCCUGUGGGAGCAGCUGGAGCAGCUCUGCUCUGACACGGGGCAGUGCUCACAGUGGGCACCCUCCACCUCCUGCUACAAAAGCUUUGCCGUGUAAAUCCAAUAAAUAGGAAAACAUCACCUGCUCCUCUCUGGGGACAGGACGGAGGUGAGGACGUCCAGCAGUGUGGCACGGAGCUGGUGAGCGCAACCAACCCAUCGUGCUCUGCAUGCGGGGUAGGGGUGGGGACACCCCUCCUGCACCGCCCGUGGGCCAGCAGCGCCGCGUACACCCCACAUCUGUACCCGCGGUGGGCACGUCCCCCUCCCUCGCUACCAGGGAGGGGACACAACACCCCAGGGGGAGCACGCAGCUCCCGCCUACCCCGAGGGGACGCGGCAGCGCUCCCCGCAGCUCCUCCGCCGCCGCCGGUCCCGGUCCCGCUGCUGCCACCGGGCGCCCACCCCAUGGCUGCAGGACGGGCCGGGGCCGUGCCCCCACCCCCUCUGCUGCUGCUGCUGCUGGCGCUGCCCGGCCCGGGGCCGGCGGGUGAGAACACGGAGUUGCCACCCUUCUCUGCAACAGGAGGACAGCACUCCGUCCCAGAGGAUACGGUGUCACCAGUUCUCAGCGCUACAGUCAUAAUCAUUGUCACCGUUGUCAUAUCUGGGAGUGCUUACCUGUGUUUCCUGAAAUACAUCUGUUCUGGAUGCUGCAAAGCUACCCAGGUGGUACCUACCAGAAGGCUCGAUCCUAGCAGGUCUGAAGAACAAGUCUAGCCUCACCAUGGCAUCUUAUCAGGUGAUUAUUGAGCUGUGGGAAGGCACUGCUGUAACUAUGAAAUAUCAGCAAGCAAAGGAGACUGUUAUUCAAUGAGUAACAACCAACACGCCCCUAUGCUUUCAUUGAGUGUGUUAUUAUUUGGCUGGAAUAACUUUUUAAUAGUUACUCUUGAAAUUUGCUAUUUUUAAGUUAGUUGUCUGAUUCUGUUUUUAAAAGAGAGGUAGGAGGGAAUAAAGUAGUACUUAGUUCUGCUGUGCUGAAUGUAGUGACAAGACUGCAUUUUCCUAGGAUGACACAGUACUCAACCUAGAAUACAUAAGAUGAAAUGUUCAGAAUUCCUUGUGGAUGAUGGCAGCACUGAGGGAUGUGGUCUAGUGGGCACAGUGGUGAUGGGAUGAUGGUUGGACUUCAUCAUCUUAGAGGUCUUUUCCAACCUUAAUGAUCCUAUGCUUGGCUUAUUCUGUUCUGUGUUUGUUCUACUUAAUAUGAGGGAUUUGCCAUGUUAUUUCCUUUGUACAUGUAACUGGUUCUUCUUAGGUAUAAGAAAUCUUCAGAAGUUUUCUGGUGAAUUGCUAAUAUAGGUCACAUUUUCCACUACUAUUUAGCACUCUUUGAAAAUGUCUUCCAUUCUCUUAUAAUAUCUGGUUUAAUGCAUUUUUCUUGAUACUCCUCUGCUUUCGUAUUUGAUAAUGAACAGAGUUCCAGAGAUCUGCCAUUGCUACCAAACAUUCUCUAUAGGUGUGAUAAGAGAGAAAGAGAACAGGGCUGGAUACCUUGAGAAUGCUUGAAUUUGACAAUACAAGCUUGGACAAACUUUUGGAGCUCCAAAGCCCAGAGUUCGGUCUCCAUAUAUAGGUAUCUGAACAACACACGACAGCUUGCAUUACGUCAGAGGGCAAAAUAGAUGAUCUAGUGAUCCUCUGACUUUAAAUAUGUGCCAGCAAGUACCCACGUUUCUGGCAGCAAUAGAUCUUUAAAAAUCCACAUGUUGCUUUUUCCAUGCUGUUGAAACAUUUCUUAUUGCCUUGUAACCAAGCUGCUCUUGGGCAUUCAUCAGCACCUUAACUAUAUUGAACACUUCAUAAAGUUCUCAGCUGAUAACAUUAUGGCCACACAAGUGCUAUUCCUCCAAUUACAUGUCGUAUCCAGUAAGUGAAACAUGCUUGAAAUACAUUAGCUGGAGUGGGGGUGGAAGGAUGAAAUAAAAAAUGAACCUGAAGUUUUCUGACAGCAAACAUGUUGACUCUUUCCUGGGAUCAGAUGAGAAAAUGGUGUUUAGAAAAACAGAACUGCGGAAUGGCUCUUCUUGAGGUGUGUCAGCUACAGUUGAGCAGGGAAGCACUGAAAACCUUUUUUGGAAGAAAAAGAAAAUGGUGGGGUUUGCCAUGCAGCUCCAAAAGGGAAAGAACUACAGAUAUAUAAAAGUGAACAUUUGGAGAUAGCCUGUUUGUGAACCACUGGCAUCAAGUCAUUGAAAUGUGUGCUGUUUACCAUUAGCACAAUCUCUUCCCAAUUAAAACAAAAGCUAAACACACUUGCGGCCUUUGUUUUUACAGUAAGAAGCUAAAAAAAAUAAGGGAUAUUUGAAAUACCCAUGAGGAAAAUCUGAAAGAGAAACUAGCUCUCAGUUUUACAAAUCUGCAUGUGUGGGAUGAGCCAUUUCAUAGUUUUUGAAGAGCUGGAUUGCCAACAAUAGAUGCCAGGCAGGUUUUGGACCUAAUCUACAUCCUAUGGGCAUCCAGCACUCCUAAUUCCAACUGUGAAGAUGAAAUACAAGAGCCAGAACCAAUGUUUUUGUGGGAGAGAGCCAACAAAAAACAAUGCAGGCCUGCAUUCAGAUGUGGAUAUCAUUGCAUGGAUAAAAAUUGUUAUUUUUAUUCAGAUUUUACCUACUAUUUAUCAGCAGUAUUUACAUUCAAAUAAAUGGUCGUUUAUUGUGCCAAGUCAACACUGCAUAUUGUGGUUUGCCUCUGAAAUCUCCACGUAUCUCCAUAGCUCCGUGUAGCUGUCACUAAUAGUAAGAGCUGUUUUGUACCAGAUGAAGACUGACCUUGAGAAAUCUACUUCACAGCUGUGCAUAUUGGUGAAGAAAACAAAAUAAAUCUUCAUUUCUCUUUCUUUGUGUAAAAUGACCGUUGUGUUUUUGUCUGUAAGAAUUUCCAUGGCUCUUUACUUCCUUCCAGAUGGCUAUUGGUGAAUAUCAUCCAGCAAGCCUCAGUGGUCCAAGAAAAGACCAUGAGUUCUGCUGGCAGCUAUGAAUGUAUGCUGGUGGUGGACAAUCUUUUGACAGCUAUAUUGACAACACAGUAUUUAGUCUUUUGAUUGGACUGUUUUCAUUAAAACCUUGUCACACAUCCUGAACAUUUCUGACUGAUACCCCUAAAUAAAGACAUCACAUGCAUAACUGAUUCUGCUUGA